rnacentral:pre_miRNA from 1 species
UUGAUAAUGUUGGUGGCUAUUAUGUAACUUUUGAAAGUUGGAUGAGAAAAUGUAAUUUUAAACAAAGUUUAGGGACAGUUGGUGUAAUUUACCCAUUUAAUAUUUGGGUAAACUGCAUUACUAGUCACUCAAUUGUUAGUAUUUUUUUGUCACUCAACUAUGAAAAGUUACAAAAUGGUCAUCCAAUUAUUA